CCUACGGGUGGCUGCAGUGAGGAAUAUUGGUCAAUGGGCGCGAGCCUGAACCAGCCAAGUAGCGUGAAGGAUGACUGCCCUACGGGUUGUAAACUUCUUUUAUCAAGGAAUAAAGGGAGGCACGUGUGCCUUUUUGUAUGUACUUUAUGAAUAAGGAUCGGCUAACUCCGUGCCAGCAGCCGCGGUAAUACGGAGGAUCCGAGCGUUAUCCGGAUUUAUUGGGUUUAAAGGGAGCGGAGGUGGGUUGUUAAGUCAGUUGUGAAAGUUGGGGGCUCAAACGGCAAAAUGCAAUUGAUACUGGCAGCCUUGAGUUGAAGUGAAGUAUGCGGAAUGCGCGGUGUAGCGGUGAAA
rnacentral:rRNA from 1 species